UUUGGGGUUUUUUGUUUGGUUUAUUGUUUGGUUUUGUUUGGGGGUUUGUUUUGUUGUUUUUUUAUAAUACUGAGGUGAAGAAACUUAUUGAGAGACUGGAAAACUGUUUCUAAAUUUUUAAUGGGAUUGUAUGUCUGUAUCUUCUACUCACUCACCUUUUCUGUGCAAAAAUCUCCCUCUUCUUAGCUGCUCUCACCUUAAAGAUCAUCUGGCACUUCACCGAUAGUGUUACGAGGAGGGUAGACUCCUUGCUAUGUCAGAUGUCAUUUAACUUCACUGCUUAAUUCUAACCAUUUUUCUAACCAUAACAACCAAAUAUUUUUAGAAGAGUAAUUUUAAAGCAUAAAGAUUUAGUUUGAGUACUCGAACUUGAAAGAACAGAUGGGUCUUAUUUUAUUUCGAAGUAUGAAAGCCUAUGAAGUAACAGAAGCACCAGCAGCAACAAUUACAGCAACUCUAAAACACACACACAGCUGUCUAUCAAGCAGCUUGGAAUCAAGUUAUUUUUAACCCUUUUUUCUCCACGGUACAAAGUAUUCAUAUGAGAUACAGACUAAUUUGCUUUGACCAUUUUAGUCAAAGUAAACAAACUAUAUCUUGUUGCAUACUGAUUAAACUUUUCUGCAGCAACUGGAGAGUUUUCCUAAAACCAUCGUGAGUGUUAUAGAGGAGUGAUUUGAUAAGCAAUGCUGUUGCCUGGAGGAGUGUUCUUUUUUUUUUGUUUAUUUGAUGUUUUUGCCCUUAGUGGAACUUUAACACUGUUUCAUGCUCUAGUACAUGAAUCUUCAAGAUCUGUUGUUUUGGGGUUUUUUGCAUUAAGAGCUUUCUCAAACUUUUAUUCACCUUUAGCAGAAAAGGUUUGAUUUUUAAACCACAGACAAAUGAUUCCAUUGUAUGUCUGUAGAUACUAUAACCUCCUAUUCAGUAAUUGCCGUAAGACAACAAUAAUGCUUGUCUAUUUCAAAGCUACCUGUGAAAUCUUAUUUCUGAUAGCAGUAUAAUUGAUGCUUCGAUGCCAAAGGAACCAAAAAUCCUUUAAGUUGUAUAAUUAAAUUAUCGUUCUGGUCUAAGAAUCACUGGCAAUUUAGUUAAUUACUGUCUCUUUAAAAAAGAAAAAAGUGGUAAAACUGGAGUGCGAUGGUUAGCCUGUAGUUAGCAGGUUUCUUUAAUCAAAGAAUGACUUUGAUGCAUGGAUGUUUUCCGUGACUUUCAUAGUUAUAGUCCACAGUGAGGUAAGUGGCAUUAAUUUUUCAUAAAUUCGCACAUCCCUGUGUCCUUUUGCCCCUUCUUGUGCUGAGAUAUAUUCCUUCAGUAGUUUUUGAGCUGUUACAAAGUGGAGAGGUUUCUUGCUUAUUAUGAGAAUUUAAUUCAUAACAUUGAAACUGCUAGACUGAAUGACAUGUUUAAUAAAAUUUGGGACCUCUUAUUUGGCCUUUUUAUGUAAACAGCGUGGGAAGCUAAUAAAGCUAUUAAAAGCUUCAAUUUAUUUUAUUUAUAGAAACCCUUCUAAAGAAAUAUUUUCUGGGAAGAAGGAAUGCAGUGAGGAGAAGGCAUAGGAAAAUGCACAGCCUAAAGCUCUGAUAAAGAAACUACAGAAGUUAGACCAAUCUACAGGAAGAAAUGACACAGUUUUGCAGCAUUUUGCAAGUGCACGAGUAGACUGAGCCAUUAAAAACAUUUAAAGGAGAAUACCAAUAAGGCAUAAGGCAGGCUGGAGUGAGAGUAGUGUACUUAACCACUUGUUGGCCAGUCAGUCAGGAAUACACCAGGCAACAAUGAAUUUCAACCAACUUCUAGGAACAGGAGAUCCUGAGAAGGAGCUUAAUCCCAAGAAGAAGAUUUGGGAGCAAAUCCAACCCGAUCUUCAUACCAAUGACCAGUGUGUUGCUACAUACAAAGGAGUUCCGUUUGAAGUGAAGGGGAAAGGAGUCUGCAGGGCAGAGACCAUGGCAAACAGCGGAAUUAAAUAAAUAAAUGGUUUUUAGAAACUUUUUCAGUUGUUGAAAUGGAAAGUGAUGCAAGCACAAUAAAAAACAUGAAGUGCAUGGCUAA